ACGACAACCACUGCUGCAACAACGACAGCUGCUCCAACUACAACAACUGCUGCAACUACAACAGCUGCUCCGACCACAACCACUGCUGCAACUACAACAGCUGCUCCAACUACAACCACUGCUGCAACAACUACAGCUAGUCCAACUACAACCACUUCUGCAACAACAACAGCUGCUCCGACUACAACAACGGCAGCAACGACAACUGUUGCUCCAACCACAACCACUGAUGCAACAACGACAGCUGCUCCAACUACAACAACAGUAGCAACUAAAACACCUGCUCUGACUAAACCACUGCAGCAACAACGACAGCUGCUCCAACUACAACCACUGCUGCAACUACAACAGCUGCUCCAACUACAACCACUGCUGCAACAACUACAGCUGCUCCAACUACAACCACUUCUGCAACAACAACUGCUCUGACUACAACAACGGCAGCAACGACAACUGCUGCUCCAACCACAACCACUGCUGCAACAACGACAGCUGCUCCAUCUACAACAACAGUAGCAACUACAACACCUGCUCUGACUACAACCACUGCGGCAACAACGACAGCUGCUCCAACUACAACCACUGCUGCAACUACAACAGCUGCUCCGACCACAACCACUGCUGCAACUACAACCACUGCUGUAACAACGACAGCUGCUCCAACUACAACCACUGCUGCAACAACAACAGCUGCUCUGACUACAACCACUGCUGCAACAACGACAGCUGCUCCAACUACAACCACUGCUCCAACUACAACACCUGCUCCGACCACAACCACUGCUGAGCCAACAACACCUGCUCCAACUACAACAACGGUAGCAACCACAACAGCUAGUCCAACGACAACCACUGCUGCAACAACGACAGCUGCUCCAACUACAACAACGGCAGCAACGACAACAGCAGCUCCAACUACAACCACUUCUGCAACAACAACAGCUGCUCUGACUACAACAACGGCAGCAACGACAACUGCUGCUCCAACCACAACCACUGAUGCAACAACGACAGCUGCUCCAACUACAACAACAGUAGCAACUACAACACCUGCUCUGACUACAACCACUGCGGCAACAACGACAGCUGCUCCAACUACAACCACUGCUGCAACUACAACAGCUGCUCCAACUACAACCACUGCUGCAACAACUACAGCUGCUCAGACUACAACCACUUCUGCAACAACAACUGCUCUGACUACAACAACGGCAGCAACGACAACUGCUGCUCCAACCACAACCACUGCUGCAACAACGACAGCUGCUCCAACUACAACAACAGUAGCAACUACAACACCUGCUCUGACUACAACCACUGCUGCAACAACGACAGCUGCUCCAACUACAACCACUGCUGCAACUACAACACCUGCUCUGACUACAACCACUGCUGCAACAACGACAGCUGCUCCAACUACAACCACUGCUCCAACUACAACACCUGCUCCGACCACAACCACUGCUGCGCCAACAACACCUGCUCCAACUACAACAACGGUAGCAACCACAACAGCUAGUCCAACGACAACCACUGCUGCAACAACGACAGCUGCUCCAACUACAACAACGGCAGCAACGACAACAGCAGCUCCAACCACAACCACUGCUGCAACAACGACAGCUGCUCCAACUACAACCACUGCUGCAACUUCAACAGCUGCUCCGACCACAACCACUGCUGCAACUACAACAGCUGCUCCAACUACAACCACUGCUGCAACAACUACAGCUGCUCCAACUACAACCACUGCUGCAACAACAACAGUAGCAACUACAACACCUGCUCUGACUACAACCACUGCUGCAACAACGACAGCUGCUCCAACUACAACCACUGCUGCAACUACAACACCUGUUCCAACUACAACCACUGCUGCAACUACAACAGCUAGUCCAACUACAACCACUGCUGCAACAACGACAGCUGCUCCAACAACAACAACAGCAGCAACGACAACUGUUGCUCCAACCACAACUACUGCUGCAACAACGACAGCUGCUCCAACUACAACAACAGUAGCAACUACAACACCUGCUCUGACUACAACCACUACUGCAACAACGACAGCUGCUCCAACCACAACCACUGCUGUAACAACAACGGUAGCAACCACAACAGCUAGUCCAACGACAACCACUCCUGCAACAACAACAACAGCUGCUCCAACUACAACAACGGCAGUAACAACAACAGCAGCUCCAACCACAACCACUGCUGCAACAACAACGGCAGCAACCACAACAGCUAGUCCAACGACAACCACUGCUGCAACUACAACAGCUGCUCGGACCACAACCACUGCUGCAACUACAACAGCUGCUCCAACUACAACCACUGCUGCAACGACAACUGUUGCUCCAACCACAACCACUGAUGCAACAACGACAGCUGCUCCAACUACAACAACAGUAGCAACUACAACACCUGCUCUGAGUACAACCACUGCUGCAACAACGACAGCUGCUCCAACUACAACCACUGCUGCAACUACAACAGCUGCUCCGACCACAACCACUGCUGCAACUACAACCACUGCUGUAACAACGACAGCUGCUCGGACUACAACCACUGCUGCAACAACAACAGCUGCUCUGACUACAACCACUGCUGCAACAACGACAGCUGCUCCAACUACAACCACUGCUGCAACUACAACACCUGCUCCGACCACAACCACUGCUGCGACAACAACAGCUGCUCCAACUACAACCACUGCUGCAACAACGACAGCUGCUCCAACUACAACAACAGCAGCAACGACAACUGCUGCUCCAACCACAAACACUGAUGCAACAACGACAGCUGCUCCAACUACAACAAAAGUAGCAAGUACAACACCUGCUCUAACUACAACCACUGCUGCAACAACGACAGCUGCUCCAACUACAACCANNNNNNNNNNNNNNNNNNNNNN
rnacentral:lncRNA from 15 species